rnacentral:ncRNA from 2 species
UCAACUAAAUGGUUUAAUUUUCGUAUAACCUCGAGUAAUAAGGACCGAGGGUCUCUACAUGGAACCGUAAAUUCCUAGCUACGAAAAAUAUGCGUACUUGC